rnacentral:rRNA from 1 species
UACGGGGGGGGCAAGCGUUGUUCGGAAUUACUGGGCGUAAAGGGCGCGUAGGCGGUUCGCUAAGUUGAAUGUGAAAACUCUGGGCUUAACCCAGAGCCUGCAUCCAAAACUGGCGAACUGGAGUACUGGAGGGGAAAGCGGGAAUUCCUGGUGUAGCGGUGAAAUGCGUAGAUAUCGGGAGGAACACCAGUGGCGAAGGCGGGCUUCCUGGCCCUGUUCUUGACGCUGAG